rnacentral:rRNA from 1 species
GACGAACGCUGGCGGCGUGCUUAACACAUGCAAGUCGUACGGUAAGGCCCUUUCGGGGGUACACGAGUGGCGCACGGGUGAGUAACACGUGAGUAACCUGCCCACAACUUUGGGAUAACGCUAGGAAACUGGUGCUAAUACUGGAUAUGUGCUCCUGCUGCAUGGUGGGGGUUGGAAAGCUCCGGCGGUUGUGGAUGGACCUCUGGCCUAUCAGCUUGUUGGUAGGGUAGUGGCCUACCAAGGCGGAGACGGGUCGCCGGCCUGAGAGGGUGACCGGCCACAUUGGGACUGGGAUACGGCCCAGACGCCUACGGGAGGCAGCAAGGGGGAAGAUUGCACAAUGGGCGCAAGCCUGAUGCAGCAACGCCGCGUGCGGGAUGACGGCCUUCGGGUUGGAAACCGCGUUCAGCAGGGACGAAGCUUUUUGUGACGGUACCUGCAGAAGAAGCACCGGCUAACUACGUG